rnacentral:rRNA from 1 species
AUUGAACGCUGGCGGCAGGCCUAACACAUGCAAGUCGAACGAGUGGCGGACGGGUGAGUAAUGUCUGGGAAACUGCACGAAGGAGGGGGAAAACUACGGGAAACGGUAGCUAAUACCGCAUACAAGAGGAUGUGCCCAGAUGGGAGGAGCUUGUAGGUGAGGUAACGGCUCACCUAGGCGACGAUCCAUAGAUGGUAUGGGAGGAUGACCAGCCACACUGGAACUGUGUACAGCGUCAGACUCCGACGGUCGCGAGCAGUGGGGUAUAUUGCACAAGUGGCGCAAUCCUGAUGCAGCCAGGCCGCGUGUAUGAAGAAGGCCUUCGGGUUGUAAAGUACUUUCAGCGGGGAGGCGUUACUCGCAGAAGAAGCACCGGCUAACUCCGUGCCAGCAGCCGCGGUAAUUC